AAUUGAUGGUUACAGCUAGAGGCUGAAAAGCUGUUUGUCUGUUUCAUGAGCUCAAGUCCUACCAUGUGACCUUAAGCAGGGGCCGCCCCCCGACACUCCAGUGCGACUCUGCGUGCACAGGCCAGAGGCUCAGAACCAGCGCCGGGCUGCCCUGCUCGGCCUCCUGGGCGCAGCGGCGUUUGCCCGUGCACGUGCCCUCGCAUCGCGCGCUCCGGGGCCGGGCUCCGGGCGGUUCUCGCCGCUGCAGUUCCACCGGGACUUCCGCGCUUCGGCGGCCUGUCUGACGAGCCGCCGCGCCCAGAGAGGUUCAGGUUGGAGCGACACUUCCCAGAGGGCAGCGGUCACGCCAGAUCUUUGGCUUCCAUUCCGUUUUCGCGCGCUUCUCCCACUUUGCAAGCUCUGGAUUCUCUUUGUUCUUUCCCAGUAGAGGAAUCCCAAGGAGGACUGAUCCGUUUUGGCAGGUGCACAACCAUGCCAAGUGGCUGUGAGGAGAGAAGAGGAGGAAGCGCCAGGCAGCCCAGAGCCACCAGACAGUGACGCCACAGAGCCACAGCCAUCACACCUG
rnacentral:lncRNA from 1 species